AUGUGUGGGUGCUUAUGUUGUGUGCUUGCUAGCUUGUCGAUGAUGGCCUACUACUGUAUACGUAUGAUUUUGGAGUCAGACUGUCAGAUUAUGAUCUAUGCACUUGAGGAAAGGGAUUAUGAUGUUGCUGAAUUGGGAGUCCUCUUUCGCGAAGCCAGAAGUUUGGUGUUGGGGAUUUCAAGCCCCUUACUUAAUUUGUUUCAAUUUUGGUUAGCAGCGAUUUACCUGUGCACCAAGUUUGAGUGGAAUACAUUUUUCCAUUCAAGAAAAACUUGGUGGAUUAAUUUGUUUUAUCCGGCGAGCACCAGUGAUGGUGCACGAUGA
rnacentral:rRNA from 1 species